AUGGGCGAAAACUGUGAUAACCCCCCAAUUCUCUCCUCCAAGAAGCGCUGCAGCUGCAAGCGUGAUUCCAGCUCCGAUCCGUGGCGGGAUGUGGAGCGUCUCCGCGCGGCGUUAGAGGUGGAGCGCAGCCGCAACCAGCAGGCCCACCGGCGCUUCUCUCUGGAGCUGCGGAGGCAACGUGAGGAGACGCGCGAGGAGCGGGAGCGAGCGCUGAGGGAGCUGACCUACCGACACGAGCAGCAGAAGACGCUGGAGCUGCUGAGGCAGCGGGAAGCUCUGGGCCGGGAGCGUGCGGCGGAGGUUCGGCGUCUGUUACGCUGGCGGAGUCAGGAGUUGAAACGUACAGAGAAGUUGACGCUCAGGCAAACCCAAGAAGUGCAUCGUCAGCUAGCGGAUGAGAUCGCUGGUAGAUCGGCAUUUCAAGGUCUCAAACUUGGAUGUAAGGGCAACGGGGCGGCGUAUCGCAAACUCGAGGAACUCUUAAAGACUCUGCUUGCUCAGUCAGAUGGACGGCAGGUCGCUGUCCUUCAGCGUCUCCAGCAGGAAGUGGAAUUAGAGAAGAGCUACUUCCUGUUCCACCUACUGGAAGCCCAUAGCGGGACGUCCCGCGUCUUGAAACGAUCCAGACCGAGGUCGAAAAGUUGCUAUUUUCAUUUUUCCUUUCUCUCUUCUCUUCUCUUCUUCUCUUCUUCUCCUUCUCCUUCUCCUUCUCCUUCUCCUUCUCCUUCUCCUUCUCCUUCUCCUUCUCCUCUCCUCUCCUCUCCUCUCCUCUCCUCACAUUCAUUGGUCUCUCCAAGAGUUAAAUUUGUUAAUUAUUUUGUUGUAUGUAUGUACAUACCACCAAAAAGUUGCACAGGCAAUCAAGCAGAGAAAGUGAAGAGGUUGAGGAAGAAGAACACCGAACUCGCUGUCAUCGCCAAACGUUUGGAGGAGAGAGCGCGGAAACUACAGGAAGCCAACCUGAAAGUGGUAAAUACUCCGAUGCCAGUGAAAGCGGGCGCUGUGGAGCAGUACAAGCGUGCGUUUGCCCGUCAGAGAGCCAGAGACCUGGCGCAGCACGCAGACACACUGCUGUGUAAAGACAAACAGAUCGCAGCGCUGCAGCAGGAGUGCAGACAGCUGGAGACACGGCUGGGACAGGGGAAGGUACACAAACACACACCAGGUCCUGUGGGAGUCAGUGAGUUUGAGCGUCUCCUGAAGGAGUCUCAGAAGGAGGUGUUGCGUCUGCAGAGGCAGCUGUCUGUCACCUCCACCAGAGACCAGAGCAGUGUGACGGCAGAAAACCCUUCAGAGAAUCAGGGCCGAGACAGCAGGGUGAGAGCAAAAACACGCCCAUGUUUCCCAACACUGAGCAAAAACAUCAGCAUCUCUGAUUUGUCUCUGCAUAUUAAACUGGGAGAGCAUCUUAACAUCGAUCAAAUAACACGCUUUAAAUGGAGGCUUGUUUUAUUUUCUAAAUGCAGUUACAAUCCCUAUGAUGGUCCUAAUGAUAACCCAGAGGUCGAGUUGCCCCUCACAGCAGGAGAGUACAUUUACGUCUACGGAGACAUGGAUGAUGAUGGCUUUUAUGAGGGCGAGCUGAUGGACGGCAGAAGAGGCCUCGUUCCCUCCAACUUUGUGGAGCCGCUAAUCAAGCAGUUAGCCAAGAGUGUCAUCAUCGGCUGGGAGUCUCCGCUGGUCCCGGCCGGCUGGGGUUCUGUGUUUAGCUAUAAUGUCUACAUAGACCAUGAGUUGCGACACAACGUGCCAUUUGGUACCCAAACGAAGGCUGUUCUGGAGAGGCUAGAUUUGGCACAGAAGGCGUAUCGGAUUGCGGUGCAGUGCCUCACGGAGCGAGGCAACUCGGAUCAGCUGCGUUGCAGUAUACUAGUCGGACGGGACGUGAACGUAGCGCCGACUCACCUGUGCGUUGAACGCAUAACGGCUACCUCGGCCAGCCUAACCUGGCUGCCUAGCAACAGUAACUAUGUGCACAUUGUGUCUUUAAACGACGAGGAGUGUGAGCUGGUAAAGGCGGGAUGCUAUUCACUGUGCCUCAGCAACCUCACACCCAACAUGCAUUACAACGUUAAAGUGGAGGCCAGGCCGCACCGCACAGCCUGGGAACUACCGCCGGAGUGCCGAGAACGCAAAACCGCAGUGACCUCUUUCACAACCCAGACUGCAGGUCCUCCUGAUGCUCCUCUGGAUGUGCAGUUGGAGCAGGGCCCAUCUCCGGGAAUAGCUCAGAUCAGCUGGCUGCCCGUUACUAUAGAUGCUGCUGGGACGUCCAAUGGUGUACGAGUCACUGGCUACACCAUCUACGCUGACAAGAAGAAGGUAUUAGAGGUGUCGUCACCCACAGCAGGCAGCGCUCUGAUUGGUCCAUCUCAGAUCCAAACAUUACAGGCGGCCCGUGAGCUCACCGUGCGGACCAUGUCAGCUUUUGGUGAGUCAGUGGACUCAUUGCCGGUGAAUGUGCCCGCCAAAUUGCCUGCCAUCAUGUCCGGUGCCUCAUUGCCUCAAUGCCAGUCUGUGCCAGCCACCGCCAGUGUCCUCACGGCCAGUGCCAACCCAGAUCCUGCUGUCUAUGCCACAUCUCUCUCACCUGCCAAAUUGCCCAUUCUGCCACAUGCUGCUACACUGGAUGAACACACCACUGGUCCUGUUCGGGGAGUCUUUGUCAAUACACCCAAUGCAACCACACGUGAGGAGUCUCCGUCUCCUGCUUCCUAUGUAGAAGCCUGGCUAAUAAAGCACCUCCAUCAACAGGUGAGUGUAUCUACACGCAUGGUUACACCUGCACCCGUGGUCGUGCCUGUGCCUGUUGCUACUCCAACAUCCAUGGCCGUACCUGCUCCCUUGACCACACCAGGACCCAUGCCCACACCAGUGUCCAUGACAGUGCCAGGUCCUGUAGUUCUGCCGGCACCUGCCACCAUGCCUGUGCCCAUGGCUGCGCCCAUACCUGCACCUACACAUGCACCUAUUGUUGAACCUGCAUCAGUGCCAGUGCAGUCUAGUGUGGCUCCUGCUGUGCAGAACCCAAGCAGAGAGACAGACAGCCCAGGAGGCCUGCGUCCUGUUGCCUCCCUCUCCGACUUCUUGGAGGACCCACGUGCCAAACUUCACACACCACCACCACCCAGUUCCACCUGCCCCAAAGUCAACAUCCCAGGAAAGGACCCUCUCGAUAUCCCAGAUACACACCCACUGAGGCCUCCCAAUCCGUCACCCUUUGAGUCAGAGCCCGAGGAGGACAGGGAGAACACCAGGCUCAUAUCCAUAGAGGAGUUCCUGCGACCUGUACCUCAACCUCGAAUAAAGGCCAGUUUCCAAACCAAAUCUGAAGACCAUGUGUAUCCUUGUGCAGUUGUUAUCAUUUUGGACUGCACUCAUUUUAUUAUCUUACCAUUGCCUUCAGAGCUAAUCUUCCUUCCUUCAUAA
rnacentral:lncRNA from 1 species